AAUACAAUAAUAAUAUAGAUUUGAAACCACAAGAAAUUGAUGCACAUGUCAUGAAAUCAUAAACCGGUUGUCAACAGGCUCAAAUAAUCAAUAUAAGUAUGUACGUCAAACAUCAAUGAAAGUCCAGCCAUACAAAAAUGAUAUAGCAUAUGAUAGCUCAUAAAUUUUCAUUACUAUUUUCAAUGCUUUUUCUUUCCAUUCUAUAUUAACUUGAUCCGGAUCAAUUAUCUUUCUGACUUUGGCUACAUCCCGGUCACGUUUCCGGCCCGUGACGGGAAAAUCGAUAGUAUCACAUUUCCAGCCUAUGAUGGGGCAAUUGAUAGUAUCAUAUUUUCAGUCUGUGAUGGGGCAAUCGAUAGUAUCACAUUUCCAGCCUGUGAUAGGGUAAUCAAUAAUAACGAGAUAAGCCCAAAGUUCCUAUUCAUUUAAUCAAUUCAUAUACACACAUCAAUUUUCUUUUUACUUUAUUUCUGACCUAGACUAACCA
rnacentral:lncRNA from 1 species